GACGAACGCUGGCGGCGUGCCUAAUACAUGCAAGUGGGACGCAAGGGAACACACUGUGCUUGCACACCGUGUUUUCUUGAGUCGCGAACGGGUGAGUAACGCGUAGGUAACCUGCCUAUUAGCGGGGGAUAACUAUUGGAAACGAUAGCUAAUACCGCAUAAUAUUAAUUAUUGCAUGAUAAUUGAUUGAAAGAUGCAAGCGCAUCACUAGUAGAUGGACCUGCGUUGUAUUAGCUAGUUGGUAAGGUAAGAGCUUACCAAGGCGACGAUACAUAGCCGACCUGAGAGGGUGAUCGGCCACACUGGGACUGAGACACGGCCCAGACUCCUACGGGAGGCAGCAGUAGGGAAUCUUCGGCAAUGGACGAAAGUCUGACCGAGCAACGCCGCGUGAGUGAAGAAGGUUUUCGGAUCGUAAAGCUCUGUUGUAAGUCAA
rnacentral:rRNA from 1 species